rnacentral:tRNA from 1 species
GGGGGUUUAGCUCAGUGGUAGAGCGCUUGCCUAGCAAGUACAAGGCCCUGGGUUCGGUCCCCAGCUCCG